CCUGCCAGUUACUAACAGGUAACGCUGAGGACUCUGGCGGAACUGCCGGUGACAAACCGGAGGAAGGUGGGGAUGACGUCAAGUCAUCAUGGCCCCUAUGUCCAGGGCUACACACGUGCUACAAUGGGCGAUACAGAGCGACGCGAAGCCGCGAGGUGGAGCAAAUCGCAGAAAAUCGCUCUCAGUUCGGAUUGGAGUCUGCAACUCGACUGCAUGAAGCCGGAGUUGCUAGUAACCGCAGGUCAGCAAUACUGCGGUGAAUACGUUCCCGGGUCUU
rnacentral:rRNA from 1 species